rnacentral:lncRNA from 1 species
AUUUGGUUUACGUUCCUCGUAUAAUAUUAUUUCUACAAAAAUCUAAAAUGUUCAGAUUUUGUCAAGUUUAAAGUGGCGUGUCAGUACUUUCAUUCGGAGACUCUUUUGAUACAACAUUAUAUGAUUUUCAAGCAUGAAAAAUGCAACAGUUUCUCUGGAACUGACCAUGAAAACGCUCAUUGAGGUCCUGUGUCUUUAAGCCCCCCCUCCCCGCACCUCGCUUUAUUAUGAUUGGUCAGCUUGUGGACGUCUUCCUGUUUUCCUGGGGCUUAAAUGGCCGUGUACCUGGAGCAGGCUGUGAAAAUAGCUGUAAUCCCCCCAGAACUGUGAAAGGAAAGAAGUUAUUGAAUGUCACGUCAUUUUAAUGUUGUUAAGUUCACCUCAGGACUUGCAUCUUUGACAAAUGAAAAAAAAAGGAACACAACAUAUCUGACAUCCACACAAAAGAAUACAGAGGAACACUGGUUUUUCCCCUGUGCUGCACAUGUGGAAACAUCUAUCGCGGAACAUCUGGAAAAUGCCAGCAGCCAGACAGAAGAAAGUCAAAUUGCAGCGAAUUUCCAAACUGUUUAUGCAAAACAGUUCCUGCUCCAUAAAUUGUAUCCAAACGUCAAUGAGCAAAGUGCACCAGUAAAGGCUAAAAUCAAUGUGUGGUCCAACAGAGUUCACAGUGAUUUGUGCUCUUGGUUUUCAGUAUCUGGGGGAACCUUUCCUAUAGAAAAUGGCAUUUGAUGUAUAUUGUAAAUAUUUUCCAGUAAUUCUUCUGGUGUGAAUGCUCAGAACUGUUAAAUACCUCAUAACACAAGAAAUGUGAGUUUAUGACAUGGACAAUAAUGGCAUAAGAGAAAAUGUAUGUUUACUGAGUUCUGUGCUGCUUCUAUACGCUUAAAUAGUUUCCCUAGUUACUAGUUUCUAGUAUAUAUAUACACAUAUAUAUAUAUAUGAUAUACAUAUAUACAUAUACAUGUUCAUGCAGCUGCUACAAAAAUGAUGACUGACUUAAAUUUGACACAAGCACCUUGGAGUUCUGUGUCUUAUAGACAUCUAUGCACAUAUCAAUUUCCCUUCCCCAUCAGCCCCUGGGCAUUUUAUCGCCUCCAAAAAAGACGCAGAGAAAUUAAGUGGACCAGCACCUCUAAAUAAAGACCUCCAAUUUAGCA